CUUCUUCUUAGUGUGUGCAUUAUAUUUAUUUGGUUUCGUACUGGGCACAAAAAGAAAAUGUGAACUUUUUGUGGAAUAUAUGGGUGUAUGCAGUAGAAUAGAUAAGGGAUACACCUACGAUCUUGGUAAAAAUAGAUGCCAUCAGACCAGCGGAAAGUGUAGAGGAAUUAAGAACUUUUUCAAGACUCUCAAAGAAUGCGAGGAACUAUGCAAAGAAAACUCUAGUGAAUGGUUUUAAAGAAUCACAUCAUAUGGAAAUCAUAUCACGAGGAAGAUGAAGAGUAUGUAAGCAUUGAGAAAAAUCAAAUUGAAACCGUUUACCAGCAAUGAAUCAUGAAAUAAGUUUGAUCUAAAAAGUCAUUAAUAUAAAAGACUUCAUGAGGCUAGACGACUAUGCUUAGUUUAUUAAAUAUUAAAAAAGCCAUAUUUAAAGCCCCUAUUAUCUUAAGCAUAAUAAAGCAUUUUCGCUUGAAAACUUAA